rnacentral:rRNA from 1 species
UGCGCAGGCGGCCGAGUGUGUUAGAUGUGAAAUCCCGGGGCUCAACCCCGGAACUGCGUCUAAAACUACUUGGCUAGAGUAUUGGAGAGGGUAUCGGAAUUCACGGUGUAGCAGUGAAAUGCGUAGAUAUCGUGAGGAACACCAGAGGCGAAGGCGGAUACCUGGACAAUUACUGACGCUCAGGCACGAAAGCGUGGGGAGCAAAAGGGAUUAGAUACCCCUGUAGUCCACGCCCUAAACGGUGCACACUAGGUCUUGGCGGAUUCGACCCCACCAGGGCCCAAGCUAACGCGUUAAGUGUGCCGCCUGAGGACUACGGUCGCAAGACUAAA